rnacentral:lncRNA from 1 species
UCAGCUGCGAGGCGCCACUUGAGAAAUCCAUCUACAAUUUUCAAGGAUACCGUCCCACACUGACAUAUUCAGGAGGCAGUGGGAGCGAGCAAGUGAGUUUCCAGGCCAAAGCGAGGCAGACCGUGAGCUGCACCGCCGCCAUGGCAGACCGCCCACAAGAAGUCCUCGGCGUCUCAACUCUGACCCUCGACGUCGUGGAACCCCCAUAUCUUACCUUGACCUCGGAAGACCCUGUGUUGACCUUGAGCCACGGGAAUCUGAGUGAGAAUCUUAACCUAACAUGGCCCAUCACAUUCAUGGGGUUUCCUGAACCUGAGUUCCAGCUGACUCAUCCAGAUGGUAAGA